CUGCAAACACGAAAGUGGACGUAUAGGGUGUGACGCCUGCCCGGUGCUGGAAGGUUAAUUGAUGGGGUCAGCCGCAAGGCGAAGCUCUUGAUCGAAGCCCCAGUAAACGGCGGCCGUAACUAUAACGGUCCUAAGGUAGCGAAAUUCCUUGUCGGGUAAGUUCCGACCUGCACGAAUGGCGUAACGACAGCGGCGCUGUCUCCACCCGAGACUCAGUGAAAUUGAAAUCGCUGUGAAGAUGCAGCGUUCCCGUGGCAAGACGGAAAGACCCCGUGAACCUUUACUAUAGCUUUACACUGAACGUUGAGUUCGUCUGUGUAGGAUAGGUGGGAGGCUAUGAAACUGUGGCGCUAGCUGCAGUGGAGCCAUCCUUGAAAUACCACCCUGUCGUGCUUGACGUUCUAACCUGGGCCCAUUAUCUGGGUCGGGGACCGUGUAUGGUGGGUAGUUUGACUGGGGCGGUCUCCUCCUAAAGAGUAACGGAGGAGCUCGAAGGUACGCUCAGCGCGGUCGGACAUCGCGCACUGUGUGCAAAGGCAUAAGCGUGCUUGACUGCAAGAUCGACGGAUCAAGCAGGUAGGAAACUAGGACUUAGUGAUCCGGUGGUUCUGUAUGGAAGGGCCAUCGCUCAACGGAUAAAAGGUACUCCGGGGAUAACAGGCUGAUACCGCCCAAGAGUUCAUAUCGACGGCGGUGUUUGGCACCUCGAUGUCGGCUCAUCACAUCCUGGGGCUGUAGUCGGUCCCAAGGGUAUGGCUGUUCGCCAUUUAAAGUGGUACGCGAGCUGGGUUCAGAACGUCGUGAGACAGUUCGGUCCCUAUCUGCCAUGGGCGUUGGAGAUUUGAGAGGGGCUGCUCCUAGUACGAGAGGACCGGAGUGGACGAACCUCUGGUGUUCCGGUUGUCACGCCAGUGGCAUUGCCGGGUAGCUAUGUUCGGAAGCGAUAACCGCUGAAAGCAUCUAAGCGGGAAGCGCGCCUCAAGAUGAGAUCUCCCGGGGCACAAGCCCCCUGAAGGAACCAUGUAGACUACGUGGUUGAUAGGUCAGGUGUGUAAGUACAGCAAUGUAUUGAGCUAACUGAUACUAAUGAUCCGAGAGGCUUGACCAU
rnacentral:rRNA from 1 species